ACAACAUCAUCUCAGCCAGGUGAUCAAGGCCAAUAUCAACAGUGAUAAGUCAUGUUGAUAGUAUAUACUGUUGAUAAGAUGUGAUGAAAAUGGCACUU